rnacentral:tRNA from 1 species
UCCCUGGUGGCUCAGAUGGUAAAGCAUCUGCCUGCAAUGUGGAAGAUCCAGGUAUGAUCCCUGGGUAGGGAA